UGUGCCAGCAGCCGCGGUAAUACAGAGGGUGCAAGCGUUAAUCGGAUUUACUGGGCGUAAAGCGUGCGUAGGCGGCUAUUUAAGUCGGAUGUGAAAGCCCUGGGCUCAACCUGGGAACUGCAUUCGAUACUGGGUAGCUAGAGAUCGGUAGAGGGCGGCGGAAUUCCGGGUGUAGCGGUGAAAUGCGUAGAUAUCCGGAGGAACACCGAUGGCGAAGGCAACCGCCUGGGCCUGAUCUGACGCUGAGGCACGAAAGCGUGGGGAGCAAACAGGAUUAGAU
rnacentral:rRNA from 1 species